rnacentral:lncRNA from 1 species
GCCGGCCCUCCCGCCCGCCACUCACCAGCGCGGCCCGGCUGCGAGUGGGGGCGGGGCGGAGGGAGGUGGAAAGGAAGCAGCCGUCCGAGCGAUUGCCGGACCGAAAACAGUCCGAGGCGCCCUUCCGCCGGCAUCUCCACGUCCUUGGCUUAGCUUCGGGGUGGCGGGUCACGAGCAAAGUCUCAGAUAGGUGCCGCACACAUAGCGGCUGCUUCAAAUUACCCACUCCUUUAAGAGGAGCUAAUUUUUUCAGACAGGCAAUGCGUAGGGCAGCCACAGCAAGCCCCUCAAUCCAGGGCCUCAGUGGAGGGGGAGGAGUGUUCCGAGGACCGGAGGCAGGAAGUGGAUUGGUCGCCAGGAAAGGGAAAGCUCCUGAAUUGGAGGUGUUAAAGAAGAAAGCAUGUGGAGUUCCCACUGGGUUCCCUCAGUGGGUUAAGGAUCUGGCAUUAUCAUUCCAGUGCUGUGGCAGAGGUUCGAUGCCUGACCUGGGAAUUUCCACAUGCAGGCACAGCCCAAAACAAAGAGAAAAAAAGAAAGUGAGUAAAGACUGUUAUUUGAGGCAUUUUAUUGUGAAAAGCAGCAGAAAAAUAUAACCCUAGGAGAAUGUGAGGUCAGGGAGGAUUUUGUUUGUGUAUCUUUUAUAUUGCAUUUUUUAAUGAACGAUAUAGAGAAUGUGGAGUUCCUGUCAUGGCUCAGGGGUAACAAACCUGACUAGGAUCCAUGAGGAGGACAAGGGUUUAAACCCCGGCCUCACUCAGUGGGUUAAGGAUCUGGCAUUGCCAUGGGCUGUGGUGUAGGUCGAAGACGUGGCUCAUGUCUUGCAUUGCUGUGGCUGUGGGGUAGGCCAGCGGCUACAGCUCUGAUUCAGCCCCCCUAGCCUGGGUGCUUCCAUAUGCUGUGGGUGCAGCCCUAAAAAGCAAAAAAAAAAAAAGAAGGAAGGAAGAAAGAAAUAGAAAUAGAGAAUAUGGAAAUGAUCCAAUCGGGAGGGAAAUAUUGAGGAUGCAGGAGAGAGGAAAAAAGAUAACAAAAGAUCAAAAUCCUUGCAGUGAGAAGGAAUGGCAUCUCAAGUACCCGUGGAGGGAGGUCCCAUUGUGUUUCAGCGGGUUAUGAACCCAACUGGUGUCCAUGAGAAUUGGGUUCGACCCCUGACCUCGCUGAGUGGGCUAUGGAUCAAGCUGCAGUAUAGGUUGUAGAUGCUACUUGGAUCUGGAGUGGCUGUGGCAUAGGCCAGCAGCUGCAGCUCUGAUUGGACUCCUAGCCUGGGAGGGGUCCAGUGCUGCAGAUGCGCCCCUAAAAAAAAAAAAAAAGCGGGGAGGGAAGAAGGAAGGGAGAAAGGAACAGGAGACACACAAAGGCUUUUGGACCUGGGAGUUUUCAAUGAGAAAAGAAAAACUGCUGCUCAGGUUCAGUGAGAAAGAAACAUGAAGAGCAUGAAAGCAAUAGAGAUCACCUGCUGCGAAGCUACAUAAAGUUUGUGGUCAUGAAUUUAAAGUAAAACCAUCCAGCCCACAUAGGCCAAUUUCUCCGGAAGAGACGGACAGUUAAAUUUAACUUUGGCUCGCCACCGCCCCCAUAAAAGUAAUGACGGAGAAAGAGACAACUGCAGGAAUUGUGGGUGUUUGCAGAAGAACGCUUGUAGUGAAGGAUCAUGGGAUCCACACUGGGCACAGGGUAGGUUAAGGGAAAUGAGGUGUGCGCGUGAGUGUGGAUGGGGUUAAUGAAUUGACAGGAGCUGGGGUUGCAAAGAAAACAGUGAUGGAAGAGCCAAAACAUCCAUGAAUUAACAGGGACAGUCCAGGAAGUCUUAAGGCAGUUCUGAAGAGCUGCAGUAGCAGGAGGCUUAGACAGAAGAAGCGAGCCCAAAGUGGCCAAGGCUCUUGAAAGAGGAUGGAAGAGAACUGGUUUGGAAGCCACCAUGGGAAGCAGGAAACACACACCACUGAAGUCAGACUACAUGAGAUCAGAUUUUAGUCUGGGAGUUCCUGUCGUGGCGCAGCAGAAAAGAAUCCGGUUAGGAACCAUGAGGUUUCAGGUUCGAUCCCUGGCCUCACUCAGUGGGUUAAGGAUCCAGCGUUGCUGUGAGCUUCGGUGUAGGUCACAGACACGGCUCGGAUCACGCGGUGCUGUGGCUGUGGUGUAGGCCGACAGCUACAGCUCCAAUUAGACCCCUAGCCUGGGAACCUAUGUAUGCUGCAGGUGUGGCCCUAGAAAAGGCAAAAAAGACAAAAAAAAAGAAGAACAUUAAAAAGAAAAAAGUCAAAUUACCACAAUAUACACUUUAAAUUCCUUACAAUUUUGUCUAUCAAUUAUACCUCAAUAAAAUUGAAAAAAAAAAAGAAAAGAGGAACA